CCUCUAGAUGAUGAAGACAUCAUCUCCUACAUUCUUGCAGGAUUAGACGAUGAGUACAACCCAGUAGUGACCACUUUGGUCGCAAGAUCAGACUCAGUAAGUGUUGCUGAAGCAUAUGCACAACUGCUCAACUUUGAAC
rfam:Zea mays cultivar B73 chromosome 4, whole genome shotgun sequence.